AUUAAAACCAGAUGUUGUGGGGAGCAGUUUCUGAGACCUGUAGGAUAAAGCUCGGUGGGAAGCUUGUGUAGGAAGUGGCUGCUGCUGCGAAGAUAUCUGUAAGCUACAGCCCAGGGGGUCCUUCAAGUACAGUACUGCAAUCUGAAAAUGCCUACUCUGCUCUGUGCAGCACAUUGCUUUGUUUGCAGUAUCGAAACAACAUAACGAGUGUCAAAAUUCUGCGCUGAUAAAAAAGCAGCUCCUCCUGCAAGGAAGGUCCCAGACUUCGCUGACUACUCAAAAGCAUUCUGAAAAGAUCAAGAAAACAACCAUGCAUUUGCUGAAAGAUAGUCCAAAUGACUUGACCAGUCUUUUCCACUUUUCAGUUCAAUAGCUCAGUUCCUGUCGGAGACAUUAUGGCCUCGUGCAGACGAGCAUGGAUGUGAGGUAUGUGGCACUGCAAACCUGCCUGCAACCACACACCACACAUGCAGGCAUUCCCCACACUGCUACCUUGCAGCAUGGGAGGGGGGAUUGACCCCAGGACAUCCCAGGGUAAAAAAAAAACCAUGCCAAAAAAAAGCAGGGCAGUGCACAUGGCAUCAGCUCACCCCAUUCAAAACUAGAGCCAUGUGGGAUGAAACUACACUCUGACUGCCCACCACACUUCCUGCUCUGGCUGUAGCCCUGGGAGGCCUGCAGGACCCCAGGUAAGGAUGCUGGGACCAGCACAGUUGCUGGCCCUGGCCUCCCUUUCCUGCCUGGGAUAACCUGCCAUCACCAGAGCACGUAUGGCACGGGUGUUCCUUGGGACAAGUACCAGUGGCACAAGGUAUAAUAGAUCUGUGCUGGUCUCGAUGUGCUCUAUGUUUCAGUGGAUGGGGCAUAAACCAAGAGAGUCUGAGAGUGGGGUUCUAGACUUCUAUCUUCUACUCAGUUAUGUCUAAAGAAUUCAGUGAUGAAUCCCUACUGUUGCAUGCUAAUAGGAGCUCUUUUUCUUUGUUGUGGAAUUGUUCUACAAUAAGUAAGAGAGAGAGGAUUUUUUUUGUAAGAUCUUUUCUUGAACCAACUGUGUAGCUUGAAGAGCUGUUGGACUACCUUUAGGGCAACAAAUCCCUUUCCUCAGGUCUCAGACCUAAAAUAAGCGUUGCUUUGGUUGAAAUGGCUCAGUUUUGGUUUACAUUCCAAUAAACAAAAAACAGACAUAUUCUUAGUUUGACAUAUAGAUAUGCGAGACGCAGGAUUGGUUUCCUAAAUAACAUUGUGGCUGUAUCCUGAUUAGAUGACCUGAAAUUCACCUCCCUACCCUUUUGUCAUUUUUGUAGAUAUAUAUUACAUAAACAUUACAUUUAAUUGAUUAUCUUAUGACCCAGACAUGAUACAAGGCUUUAGUAUCCUUUAUAAUUAAUUCCUAGGAUUUUUAGUAUUCUUUAUAAUUAAAAACCCCUGAAAAAACAAAACAAAAUAAAGAAUGGCUAGUUUAAUAAAAUGUAUUAUACCUAAUGCGUUAUAGUAUUAAUAAUUGUAAUUGUUGGAAAGGGAUUCAUUUUAAAUAUACAGUUUAAAUAACUGGGAGGGCUUAACCUUCCAGGAGUGGUCUACAAGGAGCAGAGUGUCAGAAUAGACUUUACUGAAUCUAACUAUAUGUCCAAGUCCUAGAUCGUUGGGAUUAGCUCAAAGUACGUGAACUGUGUCGCAGCAAGUUCAAAACAUUCACAGAGCACCAAGCCCAUUCUAAACAACAAUAAACUUAAAUUGGUAGGAUGGAAAAAUGAGACAAAUAAGAUGCAGCUCUGAUGGGAAACCCAUUUCUUGCAUCUUGCACACCGUGUUUUCCCCACUGACAAGAAAUGCCGUGGGCUUUCAGAACAACAGAAAAUGUGCAAUUUCUUUCACAAGAAUACAUCUCUGCUCUGAUUUCUUAUUGUUGUUGACAGAACCCUUCAUUAUGUCUUUAAAGAAUCAUUUUAUGUUUAUUUGUACCGCCUAUACAGAUUUUGGAAGUUGUUUUAUGAAUUGCUAGAGGGCAAUGUCUUUUUUUAAUAAAAGUUUAUUACACUUUGAUUGA